UAUUGGCUAGUGCUCCCCCCGAGCCCCCGCCCGUGGCCGCCCCGUCCGGGGAGGGCGAUUUCAUGGAGGAGGUGGAGGCGGAGGGGACGGGAGAGCAGGGGAGCGGCGGCGGCGCCGGCCGCAGCGUAGAUGCCGUCGCCGCCGCUGUGCGCGGCCGCGGACGAGGUCAUUUUAGAACGGAGGAAGCAUGGCCUGGGAACGUUCAGUUGGAACAAUGACCCACUAUAUACAUCGUGACAAGGAGAUUCAACAUCUCAGUUGCAAUACAUUCUGGGGUUGUCUGCUUUGUUGGAACUUUGCUAAGAAGUGUGUUAGCAACCGUACUUGUUCUUUGUUGCACAUUUUUAGCGCACGACGCUUAUUGUCCCACGUCUUGCCAAGAUUUCCCACACCAUUAUUACAGAGGUUUCCAAAACAUGCAAAAUGAUCAUUCUACAAUUUAUCAGCCAACUUGCUACACCAUUUUCCAUCAAACCACAUGCAAAAUAUGGGAGGGGGAGAUACAACAGAUCCCAGCAACAGUGACUACCUAUUUAGCAUCACAGAGUGAGAAGAGAAAGCAGCAGAGGUUGUCAGGUAAAUACAACACAUGUUUGCACGCUGGCGAUCAUUGAUCAGGACCUUUGAAUGUAAAAGAACGCAGCUCUUUCUGUAAUACAUGAGCAGACAGUCUAUGCAUAUUGUCACAUUGGCACACCUUUA